UGCGGGAUGGUGUAAUGGUAGCACGGCUGAUUCUGGAUCAGUUAGUCUAGGUUCGAAUCCUAGCCCCGCAGCCA
rnacentral:tRNA from 1 species